GUGGGGAAUCUUGCGCAAUGGGCGAAAGCCUGACGCAGCCAUGCCGCGUGAAUGAUGAAGGUCUUAGGAUUGUAAAAUUCUUUCACCGGGGACGAUAAUGACGGUACCCGGAGAAGAAGCUCCGGCUAACUUCGUGCCAGCAGCCGCGGUAAUACGAAGGGGGCUAGCGUUGCUCGGAAUUACUGGGCGUAAAGGGCGCGUAGGCGGACAGCUUAGUCAGAGGUGAAAGCCCAGGGCUCAACCUUGGAAUUGCCUUUGAUACUGGGUGUCUUGAGUGUGAGAGAGGUGAGUGGAACUCCGAGUGUAGAGGUGAAAUUCGUAGAUAUUCGGAAGAACACCAGUGGCGAAGGCGACUCACUGGCUCAUUACUGACGCUGAGGCUCGAAAGCGUGGGGAGCAAACAGGAUUAGAAACCCGUGUAGUCC
rnacentral:rRNA from 1 species